UACGGAGGAUGCAAGCGUUAUCCGGAAUGAUUGGGCGUAAAGCGUCCGCAGGUGGCUAUGUAAGUCUGCUGUUAAAGAGUCUAGCUCAACUAGAUAAGAGCAGUGGAAACUACAAGGCUAGAGUACGUUUGGGGCAGAGGGAAUUCCUGGUGUAGCGGUGAAAUGCGUAGAGAUCAGGAAGAACACCAGUGGCGAAAGCGCUCUGCUAGGCCGCAACUGACACUCAUGGACGAAAGCUAGGGGAGCGAAUGGG
rnacentral:rRNA from 1 species